UUUUUUUAAUUUACUGAGUCUUUGAUGAGCUCACCCCUGGUUACAAAACUCCCCAAGACUCCAUUUAUUAGAGGUGAGAAAUGCUUUCACUCUCAGCACGUCAUUUCAUAUGUGUAAGGUCAGUAGUACUGGAGAUUACCGAAUGAAGAAAUAGCCUUGUGUCUUAAUAUACACGUGUAAAAGUGCUGAUCAGGUGUUUAAGAUGCAGAUUUUAGAUAGAAGUGUGUUCAUUUCAGUGCACAAAUCCAGACAAAUUAAAUCCUGCCGGACUAGUAAAACCUCAAAAACACAUGGAGGAGGAGGAGGGGGGCUCGGUUUUUCCUGUGUGUGUAAACAUGUCAGUGUAUACCCUGCUGUAUGUUGAGGAGAGGGGGAGAUGGCAGACUGCCAUGACAAACUCAUUGACCCCUCCCCCCCCCUCCCCUCUCCAGCUCCCUUUAGCAGUGGUGAGGCCAAGUUUGGGAUAGGAGCCAGUAGCAGCAUAGCAAGGCUGCACAGCUCCCAGCGUUGGCCAACUGGAACACAGUCGCUAUGUAGAUUUCUGGGAUCCUUCACAGUGUCAGAUUUCAGUGAUCCUGUCCUCUCUGUUGCCUUGCAGAAGCAUGUCCUGCUCCUGCUUCCAUGCCAAGACCUUUUUUGGGAUACACACUUCAAGCUAAUCAUCUAAACAUUUGUCAUACGUGUAUGGUAUUUACAUGUGGUAUAAAAAGAUGCAUGAAUACAAAGGAAUGAGAAAAAUUCCAGCUUCCCAUCGCUCAUUUGCAAGCAAUCAGAUUCUAGGAGGCAUUAAUAGUUGUGCAGCCGUUUAACUCUAAGGUAGUACUGCAAACUAGGAGAACAAAGAGAUCUAAGUGUUUCUAUGCAAUGUUUUUUUUCAGCAAAUAAAAGGUGUGCCAGUAAUAUGUGGCAGCUUUGAAAACAAUGUGGAAUUACUGCCAUCUACAGGACAUCUAAUGCAUUACAUGUUUAACUUUUACAAUCGAGAGAAACUGUAAACCAUGUCAUCAAAGUGUGUGUCUUUGAAAGGCAGGUAAAAAGCUACAUCAAGUUGUCAGUCUCUCAUUUUGCAAUUAAAAAAACCCUGUAUAUCUUACCAUCUGUAAAGCCCGUAGAGUAGGAAUCUGAUUUGUGAUACUGUAAAUGUACUUUUAAGGCCAUGGCAUCCAGGCUGCAUGUCAGCACUGACCCUCUAAAUACCCUAACACUCAAAGUUUUUGUAAAUGGUUAGCCUCACAGCAUAAUUUCUCCAAGUCAUGUUUUUGGCCAAAUUGUGAUAUCUGCAUAAAAUGAAGUAGCAGUGUUAGGGGUAAAGUUAUGUAGAUAUCACAAGUUGGCCAAAAAUAUGACUUAGGUAAUUAUGCUAUAAGGCUAAUAAAAUGAAAUGUAAUAGGAACUGACUGA